rnacentral:rRNA from 1 species
AACGAACGCUGGCGGCAUGCCUAACACAUGCAAGUCGAACGAGACCUUCGGGUCUAGUGGCGCACGGGUGCGUAACGCGUGGGAACCUGCCCUUAGGUUCGGAAUAACUCCCCGAAAGGGGUGCUAAUACCGGAUAAUGUCUUCGGACCAAAGAUUUAUCGCCUUUGGAUGGGCCCGCGUUGGAUUAGCUAGUUGGUAGGGUAAAAGCCUACCAAGGCGACGAUCCAUAGCUGGUCUGAGAGGAUGAUCAGCCACACUGGGACUGAGACACGGCCCAGACUCCUACGGGAGGCAGCAGUGGGGAAUAUUGGACAAUGGGCGAAAGGAUGAUCCAGCAAUGCCGCGUGAGUGAUGAAGGCCUUAGGGUUGUAAAGCUCUUUUACCCGGGAUGAUAAUGACAGUACCGGGAGAAUAAGCUCCGGCUAACUCCGUG